UUGUCUCUUGGCUUGAGUUAUCUUGCUUGUCUAUAUCUGUGACUGCAACAACGUGUCAGGGACAGUUGGCUCCCAGACUGCUAGGCUGGGGUGCUAACCUCAGUGGGGAGCCAGGAGGAGGACAGCUGGUAACCGAGGAAUCCAGGAAUUAGGACUGAUGGAGGAGUCUGCAGUCUUGGGGCUUAAGGGAGAUUAAACUUCACAAGUCACUCUGUCUGGAGAUGGGGAGCAGGCGUUCUGAGAUCUUGCAUAGGACACCUCUGGACCUCGAUUUCGUGAUAAGGGAACCGGAGGCAGCGACUCUGCUCUGCCUGAGUCCAGGUUUGACCAAGGUGUGACCUUGAGAGUCAGGAGGCUGAGGGCUGGUAGGAUGAUGUGGACGCUUCACCAUCCACUAGGGUGAGCAGA